GAUGAACGCUGGCGGCGUGCCUAAUACAUGCAAGUCGAACGAAACUUCUUUAUCACCGAGUGCUUGCACUCACCGAUAAAGAGUUGAGUGGCGAACGGGUGAGUAACACGUGGGCAACCUGCCCAAAAGAGGGGGAUAACACUUGGAAACAGGUGCUAAUACCGCAUAACCAUAGUUACCGCAUGGUAACUAUGUAAAAGGUGGCUAUACUACCGCUUUUGGAUGGGCCCGCGGCGCAUUAGCUAGUUGGUAGGGUAAAGGCUUACCAAGGCAAUGAUGCGUAGCCGAAUUGAGAGGUUGAUCGGCCACAUUGGGACUGAGACACGGCCCAAACUCCUACGGGAGGCAGCAGUAGGGAAUCUUCCACAGUGGGCGAAAGCCUGAUGGAGCAACGCCGCGUGGGUGAAGAAGGUCUUCGGAUCGUAAAACCCUGUUGUUAGAGAAGAAAGUGCGUGAGAGUAACUGUUCACGUUUCGACGGUAUCUAACCAGAAAGCCACGGCUAACUACGU
rnacentral:rRNA from 1 species